CGACCCGAAGGGUGAGGAGCGGAGCGACGAAUAAUCCUUCCCCCACCACCA
rnacentral:sRNA from 1 species